ACGAGAUACACAUGAACAGGCCAA
rnacentral:siRNA from 1 species